GAACGGGAUUUAGUAGACAGAAGCUUCGGUGGAAGAUUACUAAUGAGAGUGGCGAACGGGUGAGUAACGCGUGAGCAACCUGCCUAUGACAGUGGGAUAGCCUCGGGAAACCGGGAUUAAUACCGCAUAAAAUCGUAGAAACACAUGUUUUAACGGUCAAAGAUUUAUCGGUCAUAGAUGGGCUCGCGUCUGAUUAGCUAGUUGGUGAGAUAACAGCCCACCAAGGCGACGAUCAGUAGCCGGUCUGAGAGGAUGAACGGCCACAUUGGAACUGAGACACGGUCCAAACUCCUACGGGAGGCAGCAGUGGGGAAUAUUGCACAAUGGGGGAAACCCUGAUGCAGCGACGCCGCGUGAACGAAGAAGGUAUUCGUAUCGUAAAGUUCUGUCCUAUGGGAAGAUAAUGACAGUACCAUAGAAGAAAGCUCCGGCUAAAUACGUGCCAGCAGCCGCGGUAAUACGUAUGGAGCGAGCGUUGUCCGGAAUUAUUGGGCGUACAGGGUACGCAGGCGGUUUAAUAAGUCGAAUGUUAAAGAUCGGGGCUCAACCCCGUAAAGCAUUGGAAACUGAUAAACUUGAGUAGUGGAGAGGAAAGUGGAAUUCCUAGUGUAGUGGUGAACUACGUAGAUUUAGGAGGAAUACCAGUAGCGAAGGCGACUUUCUGGACACAAACUGACGCUGAGGUACGAAAGCGUGGGGAGCAAACAGGAUUAGAUACCCUGGUAGUCCACGCCGUCCCCGAUGAAUGCUAGGUGUUGGGGGUCAAACCUCGGUGCCGAAGUUAACACAUUAAGCAUUCCGCCUGGGGAG
rnacentral:rRNA from 1 species